GCAGCGGUAACUCAGCGGUAGAGUGUGAGAUUGCAAAUCUUGAAGUCCCGUGUUCGAUCCACGGUCGCUGCU
rfam:Penicillium vulpinum strain IBT 29486 PENVTL_contig038, whole genome shotgun sequence.